rnacentral:rRNA from 1 species
AGAGUUUGAUCCUGGCUCAGGAUGAACGCUAGCUACAGGCUUAACACAUGCAAGUCGAGGGGCAGCAUGAACUUAGCUUGCUAAGUUUGAUGGCGACCGGCGCACGGGUGAGUAACACGUAUCCAACCUGCCGAUGACUCGGGGAUAGCCUUUCGAAAGAAAGAUUAAUACCCGAUGGCAUAGUUCUUCCGCAUGGUAGAACUAUUAAAGAAUUUCGGUCAUCGAUGGGGAUGCGUUCCAUUAGGUUGUUGGCGGGGUAACGGCCCACCAAGCCUUCGAUGGAUAGGGGUUCUGAGAGGAAGGUCCCCCACAUUGGAACUGAGACACGGUCCAAACUCCUACGGGAGGCAGCAGUGAGGAAUAUUGGUCAAUGGACGAGAGUCUGAACCAGCCAAGUAGCGUGAAGGAUGACUGCCCUAUGGGUUGUAAACUUCUUUUAUAAAGGAAUAAAGUCGGGUAUGUAUACCCGUUUGCAUGUACUUUAUGAAUAAGGAUCGGCUAACUCCGUGCCAGCAGCCGCGGUAAUACGGAGGAUCCGAGCGUUAUCCGGAUUUAUUGGGUUUAAAGGGAGCGUAGGCGGACGCUUAAGUCAGUUGUGAAAGUUUGCGGCUCAACCGUAAAAUUGCAGUUGAUACUGGGUGUCUUGAGUACAGUAGAGGCAGGCGGAAUUCGUGGUGUAGCGGUGAAAUGCUUAGAUAUCACGAAGAACUCCGAUUGCGAAGGCAGCUUGCUGGACUGUAACUGACGCUGAUGCUCGAAAGUGUGGGUAUCAAACAGGAUUAGAUACCCUGGUAGUCCACACAGUAAACGAUGAAUACUCGCUGUUUGCGAUAUACAGUAAGCGGCCAAGCGAAAGCGUUAAGUAUUCCACCUGGGGAGUACGCCGGCAACGGUGAAACUCAAAGGAAUUGACGGGGGCCCG